rnacentral:tRNA from 1 species
GGCCGAGAUGGUGCGCCGGGACGUGGCCGUCGCUACCGACGACGGCUGGCGACUCAGCGACGGCUAAAACGGGCCGUUCUGCGACGGGAAUCGGUCUC